UUGCCCCCUCUGAGCAAAAGACCAGGCUCACUCCGAACCGAUUGCGUCGUGGCGAGCCAAACCUCCAUUCCCUUUAGCCAUUGCCGAAAAAGAGGAACUUGACCAUUGACCAUUCCCGCUUGCAUCAUAGUUUCUACUCAUAACACCCCCAUUACUGCCCUUAUUGAUUUUGGCGCCGAUGAAAAUUUGAUUCAUGAAGAUAUAAUUAACCAGCUCCAAAUCCCUCUCCAACCACUUACAUCACCGAAAAAAGUCACAGCCCUGGAUGGCCGAGUCAUUUCCCCUGUCACCCACCAAACAGUGCCUAUACCGCUCCUCAUUUCCGGUAAUCACCGUGAAAACAUUUCCCUCUUUGUCCUUCCUUCCCCUGAGACACCCUUAGUUCUUGGUAUUCCCUGGCUCAGACGUCACAACCCCGCCAUAGACCGGACUCAUUUAUCCAUCUCAGGAUUGAGUCCUCAUUGCCAUUACCACUGUCUGCUCUCUGCCGUUCCACCCUCAGAAGACCCACCACCCUCUGCCGCCCCAGUGGACCUCUCUUAAAUUCCUGUAGAGUAUCAACACCUCUCCCCGGUAUUCAGCAAGGACUUGGUAUCUCUCUACCCCACACACACACACACUCCCCCCACCUCCCGUACGACUGUGCCAUUGACCUAUUGCCGGGAGUGCCACUUCCCACCAGCUGACUCUACAAUCUCUCUCGUCCCGAGAAGAAGGCUAUGGAGGGUUACAUUCGCGAUUCCCUGGCCGCUGGACUCAUACACUUCACCUUGUCUUCAGUCGGGGCUGGAUUUUUCUUUGUGGAGAAAAAAGACACCACUCUCGGCCCAUACAUCGAAUUCUGAGGACUCAACGACAUCACGAUAAAAAACAACUCACCGCUACCAUUUAUCGACCAUUUGAAUUUUCACCAAAUUAGACCUCCGUAACGCCUUCCACCUCAUUCGUAUCCGAGAGGUGGACAAAUGGAAGACCGCCUUCAAUACCCCUCUCGGACACUUCGAGUAUCUGGUCAUGCCGUUCGAUUUAACUAAUGCCCUGCAGUUUUCCAAACAUUCAUAAAUGACAUCCUCCAUGACAUGUUAAACCGGUUCGUGUUUGUGUACCUCGAUGACAUCCUCAUUUUCUCCCGCUCCCCCGAAGAAAACCGCAUCCAUGUACGUCAAGUCCUCCACCGCCUCCUCGAGAACCGUCUAUAUGUCAAACCAGAAAAAUGCGAAUUCCCCCUCUCCUCAGCUACAUCAUUGCAAAAGGACAAUUACAACUGGACCCCGCCAAGAUCCAAGCCAUCACCGACUGGCCCAUCCCCACAACCCGGAAAGAAUUGCAACGUUUCCUCGGAUUUGCCAACUUCUACCUUCGAUUUAUCCGUAACUACAGCAAGGUCGCCAUCUCCCUCACCAGUCUCACAUCCACCAGCUCCCCCUUUCAGUAGACCCUGGCAGCAUUCCGUAAACUCAAAUCACUGUUCAGCAAAGCUCCCAUUCUGCGCCACCCUGACCCCUCCCUCCAGUUCAUGGUGGAGGUUGACGCCUCGGACUCCAGAGCUGGAGCUGUCCUCUCACAGCGAGACCCCACGACCCAGAAACUUCCCCCAUGUGCUUUUUUUUCCCGUCGCCUAUCCCCAGCGGAGAGGAAUUAUGACGUCGGCAACCGAGAGCCGCUGGCCAUAAUAUGGGCCCUGGAGGAAUGGAGGCACUGGCUGGAGGAGACUGAACAACCAUUUCUCAUUUGGACCGACCACAAAAACCUCGCUUACUUCCGUUCUGCUAAAUGUCUCAACCCUGAGUAGGUUCAAUUUCAGUCUUUCCUUCUGUCCCAGUUCCCGUAACACCAAGGCAGAUGCCCUGUCCCGUAUUCACUCGCCACCCUCCAACUCAGCAGAACCCGAACCCAUUCUCCCGUCCUCCUGUUUCAUUGGAGCAGCCACAUGAAAGAUUGAGCAGGUGGUCGAGGAGGCUCCAAAGAACCAACCUGAUCUUAAGACCGGGCCUCCAAACCGCCUGUUUGUACCGGAUUCUGCACAUUCUGAAGUCCUCCAGUGGGCCCACAACUCUAAACUCACUUGUUACCCUGGCAUCACCCGUACUACCCAGUUCAUCCAGCACCACUUCUGGUGGCCCAGCCUCAUCAAAGACACCUGAGAGUUCCUCCAAGCCUGCUCCGUCUGAAGUCUUCACACCUGCCCCCAGCUUGCCUGUUGCGCCCCUUGCCUAUUCCAAGCAGCCCUUGGUCUCACAUCGCUGUGGACUUCAUUACUGGGCUGCCCCCCUCAGAAGCACCUGUCUCCAAUCGGCCUCAUAACCACCUGCAUAUAAGCGUGCCUGUUCUUGGAAAUCCUCGCCAAAGUAUUGCAGUCUAGCGUGUUCUCCUGUGUUCCUGAUCCACGUCACUCCUUCCACCAAGCCAGCCGCCUAUCCACGCCACCGCCUGCCAACGCACCCAGGAC